UACGGGGGGGCAAGCGUUGUUCGGAAUUACUGGGCGUAAAGGGCUCGUAGGCGGCCAACUAAGUCGGAUGUGAAAUCCCCAGGCUUAACCUGGGAACUGCAUCCGAUACUGGAUGGCUUGAAUCCGGGAGAGGGAUGCGGAAUUCCAGGUGUAGCGGUGAAAUGCGUAGAUAUCUGGAGGAACACCGGUGGCGAAGGCGGCAUCCUGGACCAAUAUUGACGCUGAGGAGCGAAAGCUAGGGGAGCAAACGGG
rnacentral:rRNA from 1 species